ensembl:lncRNA
AGACUUUGAGCAUGCUGCCUGGCACCUGGUAAAUGCCAACAAGUAUUACCUCUUUUUUUUUUUUCCCAUGCUGGUGAUGGAAUUUAGGCCCUCACACAACCUAAUCAAGGGUUGUACCACUGAGCUACAUCCCCAGCUCCUGUGUUAGCUCUUUUGGUAUUAUAAGCUUACUACCUGGCUGCCUUGAGCUUAUAUAACUUAAAUUAGUUCUACACUUGAUCUUAGCCAAAAGGCCGAGAAGCAAUAGCCUAAAUUAGUUCUGAAACCACUUGUUUGCUCCUGGGUUUACUGACAAAGCUGUUAACCAGUGGGAAGUAUGACAGAUAGGCGUUUCCCAAAGUGCUCCUGCAGGAAUCCAGCUUGCAUGACUUGGGGAAGUCAGGGAAUACUUCCUGAAGAAGGCUGUUGUUGAACUAAGUAUUGAGGAAAAAUUUAAUGAAGAUAGCUCCACAGAAAGGGGAGAGUACACUUAAAGAGGACCAUGACGUGUACAGAGAUGAAAGAAUCUCAUUUGAAAGUGAUAAAAUUUGAGUAGUAUUUCAGUUCAGCAUUUCCUUGAAUUCAACCCUAUAUGAAAGAUCAACACAGGAAUACCAGGUCUGUUAAGACAAGAAACGACUUAGAGGCCUUAUGAAUACAUCCGUGCAUUCUUGCUUCAGACUUUACAAUUGAAGGCCAACCCAGUCUGGAAGCAACUCUUGUUACUGUUAUAAGGAAACCGCUACCUCAGCAAACAAAAGGAAAGGAAGACUUGUAAUAACGAAUGCCAUUUUUAAAGAAAACUUGUUUUCAGAAAACAGUACAGGAAAUUUGGAAAUUUUUAGUCUUGAGGAGAAGCUUUACAGGCAAAUGAUUUGACAGGCAGGCUCUGUCAAAAUAAUGCAGAGAUUUGAUCUCCCUUCUUAAGGACUUUGUGCGGAAUAACCCUGUAUUGCUUUUUAAGUUGCUGUUGAUCAGCUUGUGGGUUUUUGAGUUCUAACUUUUUUGAUGUAUUAAAGAUACAUCCUAUUACCUUUUUAAAAGUUAUUUUUCUGCCAUUGUAAAUACAAGUAUCAAAAUAUUCUUGCAGAGCAAUUAUAAGUAAACAUUUUUGUCAACAAGC